GACGAACGCUGGCGGCGUGCUUAACACAUGCAAGUGGAGCGACGAACCAGGGCUUGCCCUGGGGCAGAGCCGCGAACGGGUGAGUAACACGUGGGUAACCUACCCCGAUGACCGGGACAACCCGAGGAAACUCGGGCUAAUACCGGAUGUUCUCCUUUCUCGUAAGGGAAAUGAGCAAAGAUAGCUUUUAGCCUUCGCAUCGGGACGGGCCCGCGGCCCAUUAGCUUGUUGGUGGGGUAACGGCCUACCAAGGCGACGAUGGGUAGCUGGUCUGAGAGGACGAUCAGCCACACUGGGACUGAGACACGGCCCAGACUCCUACGGGAGGCAG
rnacentral:rRNA from 1 species